UUUCUCAUUCUUUUCUUCUUCUUCUUCUUCCUCUCCCCUAUCUCAGCUGUCGAUGGUGCUCCGACAACGGCGGUUUGCCUCGGGUUGGCCGUUUUCAGCCGAAUUCGGCCACACUCGCAUUGGUUCCUGUGAUAAAACAACCCUACGGCCCUCGGGGGGCCGAAAAUUUACGGAAAACCGAAGCUUACCGGCGGCGGUGCUCUCGGGUGCGGCGGCUCUCCGGUGAAGUUCGUGUUUUGGUGAUUCGGCUCCGAUCAACCUGUAGAGAAAAGAAUAGUGAUCACGGUGAUAUAAAGAUUGCAUUAAACGGAGGCCGGGAAGGGCCUCAUCAGAGGCAAAAACCGAGAAGGGGCGCGGCGGCGGCGCUGGUUUUCGGCCGUGUUUUCCGACCGUUUGGCCGGAAUUUUGGCUCCGAUUUGGCCACUGGGGAAAUCAGCGUGGAAAAACGAGUCGAGGGUAUGAAAUUUACCUCGAUCGGCGGUCGUAAAUCCCUCCGGUGCGGCGGGGGGUGGCGGCGGCCGACUUCUGGUUCGUCUUCUCCGGCGAGCGGCAGGCGGCUAGGGUUUGUGGUCUGGUGUGGGGGUUCUAUUUAUAACCCUUUGCCCUUUUGAUCUCAGCCGUCCAUUUUGAUUUAAUCUGGGCCGUCCGUUUUUUAUUAAAUAUGGGCCGUCUGUGCGAUUUAAUCUAGGUCGUCCGAUCGCACGCUUGAUAUGAGCCGUCC
rnacentral:lncRNA from 1 species